CAGGCACCUACACAUAAUUAAAAUAAUAAACAAAAAUAAAAGAGAAUAAAAGAACAGUGACCAGAGAGCACCAGAUACUCCUAGACACUUCCCAGACUCUGGCUUAGCAACCUGGGGGAGGAGACGCCAUGGCUCAAGUGGAGAAGAUGGAGGGUAAGCCAGACUCAGGAGCAGUCCCAAAUCUGAGGCACACUGGUAUGGAAUUGCUAGGAGAGUCCCAAGAGACAUAGCUGGGGACACAGAGCUGGAAUCGAUGGGGGAGGGAAAAAGAGGAGAGACCCAGAGGCUGCUCCCACAAAGGUCAUGGCUAGGGGACAAGGGACAUUUGGAGGAGACAAGUGUCAUUAGCUCAGCUGCAGUGAGACUUACGUGGCUUGCUUCUGCUCCCUCAUAUGGAGCACAAACUCUUAGAAUGGAGCCCAGGACAGUGGCUGGCACCAAGGGGGCUCUCUGUAAAUGUCUCAUUGGAUGAAAGCAUGCAUGAAUGAACUGGCUUCCCAAGAAGAAUUUUCCAGAGCCCAGUGGAAGUAAGAAGAUCAGGGUAAGCUGGAGGAUUGCAGACUCGCAGUGAGGAGGGAGGAGAGUACAGGACAAGUCUCUGUUUCAUUACAGGCCUGAUGACAGGCCCGGUCUUUGCCAUGUUGCCUAACUGUGCAGAGGGAAGGGGACAGACACAGCCAUCUCACCUCCUAUCAAGUAGGGGUUUUCCACAUAACGCUGAGCCACAUAGUUCUCCACUGGGAUAUCAUCUUUCUGGUCAUCAGAGCUCCUUGUGUCCUGGGUGUGACAAUAGCAAACAACAACACACAGCAAGUGACCCGUGUCCUCCCUGGGGCAUCUGACUGGAUCCUUAGGUAAGAUCCUUAGGUAAGUCUCUAAGGUAAGAACUAACGCCAUUCCUAUUUUACACUUGCACACCUGAAGCACAGAGAGGUGAGAUGCCUUGUCUGAAGUCACACAGCUGGCCAGAGGUUCAGCAGGGGUGUGGGGCCAUAUGUAAUUCAAACCCAGAGCCUAGGUGUGAUGGUUUGUACAUGCUCUGCCCAGGGAGUGGCACUAUGUGGAGGUGCGGCCUUGUUGGAGUAGGUGUCACUGUGGGUGUGAGCUUUAAGACCUUCCCCUUUGCUGCCUGGAAGCCAAUAUUCUGCUAGCAGCCUUCAGAUAAAGAUGUAGAACUCACAUCUCCUCCUGCACCAGGCCUGCCUGGAUGCUGCCAUGCUCCUGCCCUUAUGAAUCUCUGAACAUGUGAGCCAGCCCCAAUUAAAUGUUGUCCUUACAAGACUUGACUUGGUCAUGGUGUCUGUUCACAGCAGUAAGCCCUAACUAAGACACUAAGUUACGCUUUAGACCUGUGCCGCCUCAAAAGGCACAUGUGGGCACUGACAUUCACACUCAUAUCGAUACUACAUGCUGUGACAUGAACGAAACCUGAAGCCAAUGGCUGCAUGAAAUAAGCCAGCAACAAGAGGAUCCACCUCUCGGAGUCACCACCAUAGUCCAGUGCCUUGCAGCUGAAAGCAGGAUUGCGGAGGUCGGUAUGGAAUGCCCAGAGUUCUGAUUUGAAGUGGUGCAAACACAGUGGCCACGGGUUCCCAACAAGUGACAAUAUGAAUGCUCCUAGUACCUCAGUACUGAGACGGUCAAAGUGGGACUCUCUAAAGAGAGUAACUGAGGAAGACACCUAGUCUAUGCCCCCCACAUACAUGCAAAUGAUUAAAACCCUAAAUGCUGUGUCCUGUACAGUUUGGCGGGAGGUGGAGAUAACGGGGAGGGUAUUGCACUGAUAGGCUGGCAGUCUGCUGAGCCACGCCCUCUUGUGCCUUCCAUUCUCAGAGGAAAUGAAAUUCCAAAAGUUUAGAUCUUUGGUGAGUUUAGGGGCAGUUCACUUGCCCUCCAAUAUGCAAGGCUCUAGAUUCUGUCACUAUCACAGGGCAAGGUGGAGAGAGAGGAGAGGGAGGGAGGGAGGGAGGGAGGGAAGGAGGGGCGAUCAAUUCUCUUUGUGAGUCCAGUGCUUCACCUGGGAAGAGAAAUCGCUCCUGUCCAGGCUGUAGAAGUUCUAGCGCACGGCUGCCCAGAGAACACCAGAGCAGGGCUGUCUCUCCCCUCCUACCCAGCAGUUCAGGCAACACUCACAGGCACAGCCCUUCCUGUUACCCUUGACCCCACCUCAGUGACUUCAUGAAGAGCCAAAACCAAACCCCAGAGUCCCGUACACUCUGGACUCACAGCUGCACAGCAGUAAGUGCUUGGACUAGGGGCUUCCAGCCAUCAGGGCAGAGCCCUCUCCUGCUGAGCCGCGGCACCCACCUGGGCAGCCAGGCCUCUCCUUCCUGGAGCCCUCCUCACUUCUACUCACAUGGCUGCCUGAAGGGUUCACAUUGGCUCGAGUAGCCUGGGUCUCCACACUGGUGACUUUCUUCCCCGCAGUGCCCUGCCAGUAGGUGUAAGAGAUACAUUGGGAUGUGCAUAAGGGGAGAGGCAUUUAGUAAGCAUUUGCUUGUCUCCCCUGGGAGUUGACUCCUCCUGCUCCCCACACCCACACGGCUGUCCCUGCCAGGGUUCAGAAGGUCUCCUCUAUCUUUCAGAGCACAGCUGUUAAUUGGACCCUGCUCAUCAGCACAGGGGAUCCUCGGGCAGACGCUAAGAAGGGCGAGGUGUUCACCUGCCUGGCCUUGUACAGAAACACUGUCAGCAUGCUCACCACCCUCCCCACAGCCCACAGUCCAUUGGGACUGCAGGAUAGUGAAGCAAUCAUCCAAAGGUAUAUUGGUGCGUGUGUGUGUGUGUGUGUGUGUGUGUGUGUGUGUGUGUGUGUUGCUGAGGAUCAAACUCAGGACCUUGAUUUUGCUAAGCAAGCACUCCUUGGCAGAGCUACAGAUCAUCCCCAGGGUCUAUGCUGUAUCUGUCACUUAGAAGUCACAAUUCCCAGAGGAACCUAUACAGAGCUAAAACCUGCUGGCUGGCCUGGCUUCUGUGGCCUCUGAGACCAACUCUGGCUUCCUGCGCCAGUUCAGUCCUUUAGUUAUCUGAGCUACUGAGCACUCCCCACUCCCCUAAGGCAUCUUUCCUCUGGCACUCCUCAGGUGAGCGCAGCGCCUCCUUCCCUCUGUUCUCUGAGCAGUGUGGCCCACAGACGACAGAAGGCCUGGCAGCAGGUGGCUUGCUCAGCUCUGGGCAGAGCAGGAAACAGAGCAAAGCAAAUCCUUCCUUUCUCCCUCUUUGUUUAGUCCGGGACCCCAGUUCAUGGGAAGCUGCCAUCUCCCAUCCAUGGUGGGCCUUCUCUAGUCAACUAAACCUCUCAGGAAACACCCUCUGAGACACCCUAAGGAUGCACCUCAUUAAUUUUGUAGGUGUUUAGUAAUCCAGUCAAGCUAACAAUGUGUUAUCACACAUCUAAGUGUUGCCAACUUGAUAUAUAAACACAUUACUUGAAACCACAACAUUCUGCCCCUGGCCCACAGGGUCAUGGCCUUCCCAAUGUGAAAUGCAUGAAUUCUAACUUCAACCCUGAGCCCAACACCCAAAAUUUCUAUACUAUUCAAAAGUCUUAAAUGCUUUCCAGGCAUGGUGGCUCACAUUGAUAAACUCCGGCCCACAGGAGGCAGAGGCAGGUGAAUCUCUAUGAGUUUAAGGCUAUCCUGAUAUACAUAGUAAGUUCCAGAAUACACAAAGCUACAUAGAGACAGACACUCCCUGUCUCAAUAAAACAGAACAAAAGGUCCUAAAUCAGAGCCACUCAAAGGGCUCACAUCUCUAAUGCCAGUAUCCAGUGAGCAGAGACAGGCUGAGCUCUGUGAGCUUAAGUCCAGUCUGGUCUAUAGAGUGAGAACCUUUCUUAAAAAACAGACAAACAAAAGUCCUUAGUCCAACGUCUCUUCUGAGACUCAAGGCAAUUUACUAUGAGCACCUGUACACUAAAAACACAAGUUACAUACUUCUAACACACAAUGGCAUAGAAAAAUCAUAUUAUCAUUUCAAAAGGAAGAAUAGGGUAUAGCAAGGAAAGUCCACUGUGAGACUGAAACACAGCAGGGAAGAUUCCCAUCCUGCCCCUCAGGGCAGCACGUGGAGCUCAUGACAGGAUCCCACAGGCUCCAACAGCCUUGGGCCACCCCAUCCUUCCAGCUCUGCUCCCUGCAGCACAGUCUUUCUCUCCGCACAGCUCCACUCCACACUUGUGGCUCUCUCUGACAGAUGUGCUAUGGCCACAGCAUCUCCAGUGCACUGGGGUCUCCAUUACAACUUGGGCUUCCCCUUCACACCUUCACCCAUGGCUUCUUGGGGCUUUCCGCAGGUGAUCCUACUCUGCCACACACUCACUGAUUUACACGACCUUCUGGAACCCAGAUGAAAGCCUCCGUGACGCCUUCUCACCUUUCGUGGCUGCAAAACCGUGUACUUAGAUACUGCUGCUAAGUUCUGCUGCCAGCUUCGGUAGAGUCUGGUGCUGGGAUUGAACCCAUGGCCUUGGACACACUAGGCAAGUGCCCUACCCACAGAGCCACAUUGGAAGCCAUUAUAACUUUGGUUUUAUACCAGUGUGUCCACUCUGAGUCCUUAUUCCCUAACCAUCCCUGCUCUGCCCCCAGUGAUGCCAUUCAUUAUGUGACAUUCAGUGGUGUGAUUUGAAUAUGCUUGGCCCAGGGAGUGGCACUACUAGGAGGUGUGACCUUGGUGGAGGAAGUGUGUCAUUGUGGGCGUGGAUGUGGACUUUACGACCCUCCUCCUAGCUGCCUGGAAGCCAGUCUUCCCCUAGCAGCCUUCAGAUGAAGAUGUAGAACUCUCAGCUCCUCCGGCUCCAUGCCUAGACACUGCCAUGCUUCUGCCGUGAUGACAAUGGACUAAA